UACGUAGGGGGCGAGCGUUGUCCGGAGUUACUGGGCGUAAAGCGCACGCAGGCGGUGCUGCGCGUUUGGGGUUACAGCUCCCGGCUCAACCGGGAGAGCGCCUCGAAGACGGCAGCACUUGAGGGCCAGAGAGGGACACGGAACUCCGGGUGGAGUGGUGAAAUGCGUAGAUAUCCGGAAGAACACCAAAGGCGAAGGCAGUGUCCUGGCUGGUACCUGACGCUCAGGUGCGAAAGCUAGGGUAGCAAACGGG
rnacentral:rRNA from 1 species